rnacentral:tRNA from 1 species
UGGGGCGUCGUCUAAUGGGCAGGACCCAGGAUUUUGGAUCCUGUUGUGGAGGUUCGAAUCCUCCCGCCCCAGCCA